GCAAACUUGGUCAUUUAGAGGAAGUAAAAGUCGUAACAAGGUUACUGUAGGUGAACCUUCAGUAGGAUCAUUAUAGGAUAGGGAGCGGGCACCGCCUGCUUUGGAGCUGAACCGGCCCAUUAACCUUAAACCCCUGUGAACCCUCCCUCGCACGUUGCUUCGGCGGGCCGCCCUCGCCCGCGAGGCCUCCGUCCGCCCACCGGCGGUUGGAGCGCGCCCGCCGAAGGUUUUCUAAACCAAUUCUCUUGCCGUCGUGAACAACAUGCUGUCUGAAGCGAUAUACGCGAAAUGCGAAGCAAAACUUUCAACAAUGGAUCUCUUGGUUCUGGCAUCGAUGAAGAACGCAGC
rnacentral:misc_RNA from 1 species